GUACGGACACCCGAACGGCUGCUAGCAUCACCGCCUAGGUUAGCUGCUAACGAAAGAGCUAGCCAUCCAGCCAGCUGGUCGGCUCACUGUGUGUGAGUCAUGUCGUGGAGCUGGUGGAGGCUCUGACCGUCAGGUAACCUGGUAACCCACCGAUCUGCUGAUGUCACUGCUCUCCAUAAUGAAGUGUGAGUGUAUCCAGCCGCCUUUGUCAAUAAGCAGGAGGGUAAAUUCACAGGAGAUAAGCCGGACAAUGAAGGCCACGGCUGGUUUAAGGAAAGUGUAGAGAGACAGUGAAGGGGAAUGACACAGAGGAAGCAGCCCGGUAGACACUCAAACCCAGG